rnacentral:misc_RNA from 1 species
UCUUUUCUCAUAGUAUCAUUGAUAAAUUCGUAUAACAUUUUAAUAUGAAUGUUACGAUACAAGAAAGUCUGAAGGAUUCGAUGGAACUACUGCAAAAAAACUCUAAAUUGGUUUCUACAAUUAUUAUAAUCAUAUUUGAAUAAUAUAUAAUGGAACGUAACAUACAAAGUGUAACAAACGUCUCAGGAUAAAAGUGCAACAAAGCGAGCAAUACGAAUUCAAGAAUAAGAAAGCGAAGUUUGGCUUAGUAAAUGUCAAAACUUUAUUGAAAUUUGACAUAUUUGUAUCUCGGGGGAAUUAUUAUCAACUGUAUGUAUAAAAAAAGCUAUCAGUAGUACAUACUUCUAAAACAUAAAAAUUUAGUCCGGUAAUAUAUGUGACAUCAAGUCUUUUCGAAUAUACCUCACUACUAGCAUCGCAUUUAUGUCGUUAAUAUUUGUGUUCUACGCGACAUAUCGACCUUUUUAUUGUAUCCAAUAGGGGAAUGUUCCUGUUCGUUAAACAUAUGGUUCGAAAAUUAUUCAACUGUGACUCCCUGUACAAAAGAAACCCUAUUAUGCUGAUUCACUGCCACAUGUUAUUUGUAGCAGUUAAGCAAAUUGGAAAACCCUAUCUGAGGUAAUAAAAAGCUAUUACUUCUAGGCGAAUGUAACAAUCGUGAAAUAUAAAAUGGAAAGGGACAAAGUCACACACUACAACUUUUUCGAUUGCCGCAAAGGUCGACGAACAUGAUCGGGCAAGAAUAGCUUUCAUCGAAGACAAUCCCUUCUCCUGGGGUUUACGAUUUCGUUUGGAAACUUCACCGCUACCGAUCCCCCGCACGCAACGCUUGAAUUUUUAAAGCACGCAAGCGUAUGAGAGCUAACUGAAGUUAACUUCACGGUCAGCUUUGCGCUUCCACGAUCAGUCGUGAUUCAGGUCGCAUUCAGAUUUCAUAUCAACAGUAGCUUACACGACGGAUGAAGCUAGUCAAUAUUUUCAAACUUUCGUUAGAGUCCGUAAAAAAUGCCGCGAAACGAACAUACUCAGGACGAUAUCGUAUACAUUAUGCAACCAACUCGCAAUCUCAUGCUCGCAGUGGGUGUCUGGGCACCCAGGAGCGGGAGGAUGUCCGUAUUCCAAAAAAUAUACAACCUUUUCCUGAAUUUUAGUACCAACUUUCUGUUGGCCUGUGAGUUUAUACCUGGUAGCAUUUAUUGGCUACUGGAGGAAUCAGUGCGAAUGCGUCUUCAGAUGUGCCCUCUUCUUCUCUACGUCUUUAUGUCUGUCGUUCAAUAUUAUGUCCUUCUGUCUCGCAAUGGUAAAAUUAGACAAUGUUGGAAGCACGUCGAGGAAGACUGGGAAAAUGUUUUCAGUAUGGACGCGCGUAAUGUUAUGUUCAAGAGUGCGAAAUCCGCUAAAUUCCUGAUUCUAAUCUGUGCAGCUCUUAUGUACACUGGGUCAAUUACGUUUCGCAUAAUCUUGCCAUUAUCUCAGGGAAAGAUUAUAACUGAUCAGAAUAUCACAAUCAGACCCUUGGCCUGUCCGGUGAAUUUUUUGUUCAUCGACGCACAAGUUAGUCCCCUCUAUGAAAUACUGUUUGUAUCCCAAGCAAUAACAGGAUUUAUUAUAGUUUCGGUUGCAACCAGUGCAUACGGCCUUUUAGCAUAUUUCGUGGAGCAUGCCAGUGGUCAAAUGAAGAUUCAGAUUUGGUUGAUGAAGUGCCUCGUUCAAGAGCAACGGAAGAAGGAGCAUGAAAUUGAUAAGAAGUUAGCUGAAGUAGUCGAACAUCAAAUAAGAGUACAUAGUUUCCUUCAGAUGGUACAACACACCAUGCAAGAAAUAUGUUUCGUAGAAAUCAUGGUGAAUACCUUAACCAUCUGCCUUCUUCUGUAUUUUGUAAUAUUGGAUUGGGACACUCACAAUUUCGGGGUUAUAGGCUCUUAUGCGUUAAACAUUGUUAACGUGACAAUCCAUAUAUUUCUGUUUUGCUAUACUGGUGAGCAACUUAAUGACCAGGUACGUUUUGCAUGUGCUUAAGCACGUGCUCUCGAGCUACGGAGAUAAAGACAGGAUGUACUAUUCCAUAGUUAACAUAAUUUAUUUCUUGUAUAAAAGAAUUCGCAUUUAAUAACAUGCAAUUCUUACGUUAAAAUUAUUAUUAUACAAUAUAAAUAUUGUAUGCCUUAUAAGGAGAAAUGCGAGGCAUCAGAAAAGUAAUGAUUAUUUUUUUCGUGAAUUGACAAUGCGGAGCUUAUAGUUUUUCAAUAAAAUAAAAUAAGUACUUGAGAAAUAAGAACUUCCAUAAAAUGAAAUUUAAACGAGUGAAUGAUAACUUAUGAAUUAUAUUAGAAUUAUAUUGAAAUCGUUAUUAUGUGCAUAGGAUUUUUACAGACGAUUUAACAUAAAGAAUGCGCGUAUAAAUAUCAUUCUAAAAAGCUUCAGUGAUAAUCAAUAAAUAAAUACUUCGAAGAAAAGUGUCUGAGAAAACAUUUAAACGACUUGAGAAUGAUAAAUAAAGAAAUAAAGUUCCGAUAAAAUACAAAUAAAACAACGAAAAUCCUCUAAAAAGUUACUACGAGUUAUGGAAAAUUCACUAACACAAAUGAGUGCAUCUUGUGUCUGAGGAAUGUUCCAUAGAAAGAGUCCAUGUUGCUUUAAGCGGAUAUUCUAUAGUAUUUAAUUAAAAUAAAAAUUGUCUCAUUACUUUUCUGACAUACCCUAGAAAGAAAUAUAAACUGUGCCUUAUACUUCUUUUGAAAUUGCAAAUUUAAAGUUUGUGACACAUUAAUAAUAUAUAGGCGGUAGUUAUGUUUACGUGAUAAAUUAAUAAUAGGCGGAAAAAGUAGCAAUUGAAUCCCGCGAGCUUGAAUGGUAUAAUCUUCCGGAGAAAAAAAUGCGCAGCAUAGUUCUAUUGAUGAUUAUGUCUAAUUAUCCGCCUAAAAUCUCCGCUGGCAAGAUUAUGGUGCUAUCGUUGAAGACAUUUGGUGAUAUCAUUAAAACAUCUGGGGCGUACUUUAAUAUGCUUCGAAAUGUGACCGAAUGAAUUUGUUAUGUUGGUGGGAUAUCUCAAAUCACCGCAAAAAUAUGACAUGAACAGCAAACUUAAAUAAAGGCUCAACAAGAAAACCAGAUAGUAUCUAAGGAUAAAACAGAAUUAUAGAGAAACGCGUAAACUUGCUUACGCAAGUAAAAGUAACAUCCCAAACAGAAAAUGAUGAAAAAUAGAAAGAUUAAUGUUGCUUAUCUGAGAUUUAUUGCAAACUAUUUUGAUCAAGUAAAUGUAAAAGCUUUAUUAAAGCUUGCUGUGUUUAUAUCUCAGAGAAAUAUUGUCAUAUAAAUA